UAAUUUAAAGUCUAGCCUGCCCAAUGAUUAUUAAAUGGCCGCGGUAUCUUGACCGUGCUAAGGUAGCAUAAUCAAUAGUUUUUUAAUUGAAAGCUGGAAUGAAGGGUUGGAUAAGAAAAUAACUGUUUUUGUUUAAUUUAAUUAGAAUUUUAUAUUUAAGUUAAAAAGCUUAAAUUUUAUUAAAAGACGAGAAGACCCUAUAGAGUUUAAUAAAUAGCUUUAUUAUUAUAUUAAGAAUUAACUUUAUUGAUAAAUUUAUUUAUUUAAUUGGGGUGAUUGAAAAAUUGAAUUAACUUUUUUUAUAUUUAAACAUUUAUAAAUGAAUAUUUGAUCCAUAAUUAAUGAUUAUAAGAUAAAAUUACCUUAGGGAUAACAGCGUUAUCUUUUUUUAGAGUUCAAAUCGAAAGAAAGGAUUGCGACCUCGAUGUUGGAUUAAAAUUAAUUUUUGGUGUAGAAGCUAAAAUAUUAGGUCUGUUCGACCUUUAAAAUUUUACAU
rnacentral:rRNA from 1 species